rnacentral:rRNA from 1 species
GACGAACGCUGGCGGCAUGCCUAAUACAUGCAAGUCGAACGCACGAAGUUGAAAAGCUUGCUUUUCGACCAAGUGAGUGGCGGACGGGUGAGUAACACGUGGGUAACCUGCCCAUAAGAGGGGGAUAACAUUCGGAAACGGAUGCUAAUACCGCAUAUUUCAAGUGACCGCAUGGUCGCUUGAUGAAAGGUGGCUUCGGCUACCGCUUAUGGAUGGACCCGCGGUGCAUUAGUUAGUUGGUGAGGUAAUGGCUCACCAAGACCAUGAUGCAUAGCCGACCUGAGAGGGUGAUCGGCCACACUGGGACUGAGACACGGCCCAGACUCCUACGGGAGGCAGCAGUAGGGAAUCUUCCGCAAUGGACGAAAGUCUGACGGAGCAAUGCCGCGUGAGUGAAGAAGGUUUUCGGAUCGUAAAACUCUGUUGUUAGAGAAGAACAAGGAUGAGAGUAACUGCUCAUCCCCUGACGGUAUCUAACCAGAAAGCCACGGCUAACUACGUGCCAGCAGCCGCGGUAAUACGUAGGUGGCAAGCGUUGUCCGGAUUUAUUGGGCGUAAAGCGAGCGCAGGCGGUUCUUUAAGUCUGAUGUGAAAGCCCCCGGCUCAACCGGGGAGGGUCAUUGGAAACUGGAGAACUUGAGUGCAGAAGAGGAGAGUGGAAUUCCAUGUGUAGCGGUGAAAUGCGUAGAUAUAUGGAGGAACACCAGUGGCGAAGGCGACUCUCUGGUCUGUAACUGACGCUGAGGUUCGAAAGCGUGGGGAGCAAACAGGAU